UCCCUUUCUUAUACAGCCCCGACUUUAUCCUUAUUUCAAAUAUUAUCUUGAUGGUACCUAUAACCCUCCUGCCUCUCUGCACUUAGUCUUACCUGGAAAACACUCAAACAUGAACUUGAUUUCUACUGUCACUCCAUCCAAGCAGAUGAAUCCUAAAAUAUGAAGCUGAUUUAUUUCAAAACAAAAGAAGUAACAUUAAAUUAAAGACUUCUUAUAAGCACCCUCCGAGGAAAGGGACUGAGGCACAGUGUCCAGAGCAAGAUCAAAUCUACAGCCAUUAGUUUCCAUCCUGGAAACAAGGUUCAGACUGGACUCAGGAGUUCACAUAAACCCUAAAAGGAUGGGUUUGUUCUACUCAGGAAUUCUCAUGUUCUGAAGAAGAAGAGUGGGGUCAAAUAAUCCCCUC